AUUGAACGCAGGCGGCAUGCUUUACACAUGCAAGUCGAACGGUAACAGGCCUUCGGGUGCUGACGAGUGGCGAACGGGUGAGUAAUGCAUCGGAACGUACCCAGAGGUGGGGGAUAACGCAGCGAAAGCUGUGCUAAUACCGCAUGUGAUCUGAGGAUGAAAGCGGGGGACCGAGCAGCAAUGUUUGGCCUCGCGCCUUUGGAGCGGCCGAUGUCGGAUUAGCUAGUUGGUGGGGUAAAGGCCUACCAAGGCGACGAUCCGUAGCUGGUCUGAGAGGACGACCAGCCACACUGGGACUGAGACACGGCCCAGACUCCUACGGGAGGCAGCAGUGGGGAAUUUUGGACAAUGGGCGCAAGCCUGAUCCAGCAAUGCCGCGUGCGGGAAGAAGGCCUUCGGGUUGUAAACCGCUUUUGGCAGGAACGAAACGGUGUCCGCUAAUACCGGGCGCUAAUGACGGUACCUGCAGAAUAAGCACCGGCUAACUACGUG
rnacentral:rRNA from 1 species